rnacentral:rRNA from 1 species
AGAGUUUGAUCAUGGCUCAGAUUGAACGCUGGCGGCAUGCCUUACACAUGCAAGUCGAACGGUAACGGGCCUUCGGGUGCCGACGAGUGGCGAACGGGUGAGUAAUGCAUCGGAACGUACCUUUCAGUGGGGGAUAACGUAGCGAAAGUUACGCUAAUACCGCAUAUUCUGUGAGCAGGAAAGCAGGGGAUCGCAAGACCUUGCGCUGAUUGAGCGGCCGAUGUCAGAUUAGCUAGUUGGUGAGGUAAAGGCUCACCAAGGCGACGAUCUGUAGCGGGUCUGAGAGGAUGAUCCGCCACACUGGAACUGAGACACGGUCCAGACUCCUACGGGAGGCAGCAGUGGGGAAUUUCGGACAAUGGGGGCAACCCUGAUCCAGCCAUGCCGCGUGAGUGAAGAAGGCCUUCGGGUUGUAAAGCUCUUUCGGCCGGGAAGAAAUCGCAUGGGUUAAUACCCUGUGCGGAUGACGGUACCGGCAUAAGAAGCACCGGCUAACUACGUG